rnacentral:rRNA from 1 species
GUGCCAGCAGCCGCGGUAAUACGGAGGGGGCUAGCGUUGUUCGGAAUCAUUGGGCGUAAAGGGCGCGUAGGCGGCCGAUCAAGUCGGAGGUGAAAUCCCUCGGCUCAACUGAGGAAUUGCCUUCGAUACUGUUCGGCUUGAGUCCUGGAGAGGGUAGCGGAAUUCCCGGUGUAGCGGUGAAAUGCGUAGAGACCGGGAAGAACACCAGUGGCGAAGGCGGCUACCUGGACAGGUACUGACGCUGAAGCGCGAAAGCUAGGGGAGCAAACAGGAUUAGAAACCCCCGUAGUCC